rnacentral:rRNA from 1 species
UACGUAGGGGGCUAGCGUUGUCCGGAUUUAUUGGGCGUAAAGAGCGUGUAGGCGGCCAGGUAGGUCUGCUGUGAAAACUCGAGGCUCAACCUCGAGACGUCGGCGGAAACCAUCUGGCUAGAGUCCGGAAGAGGAGAGUGGAAUUCCUGGUGUAGCGGUGAAAUGCGUAGAUAUCGUUUGGAACGCCAAAGGUGAAAACAGGUCGCUGGGAGUGUGCUGACGCUGAGACACGAAAGCCAGGGGAGCAAACGGG